rnacentral:lncRNA from 1 species
UCUAAGCUGUAAUUCCUCUGGUUCUCACAUAAGUGAGAACUGUUUUGGACUCAUUCAGCAUUCUAAAUUUUACUCAUUGCUUCAUUAGAUGAAUUUGUUAGUUUACCAAUAAUGACCUAGGAGUAAUGCACCAUCGUUGCUUUAUUCCAAAUGAGCUAGCUAUUAGGGAAUUCAAACUUCAGGCUUUUUAUUUUCUAAAUGGGAGAGUGGAAUUUCCCAAAUUCUACUUCCGUGCUUCAAUACAGUUUUGCCCUUGGUUAUUUGAUUUCAAGACUGCUUAGGAAUUAUGGUUAUCCUGAGAAAACCACUCUGCCAGACUUGUGAACUCCAGCCUCUUUUGCAACAAAAUGAUCACAUUAAAUAUAUUUAAUCCACCAACUAGAAGUUAUAUGGAUUAAACAGUUUGAAAAAUAUAUGAACAAUUUUAUAUCAACAUGUAUUAUUUUCAUAUUAGAUUUAAAUCAUAGUAAUAAAUGUUAUUUUUGUAAUUAAUUUUUUAUCAUUUAGAGCCUGUCUUUAAAUGAAUGAGCCAAAGUUUUAAGAUUGAGUGGUUUUCUGCUCCUGGCUUUGCUAUUUUACCAAUAUUUAAUUUUAAUUUUUGUAUUUCCAGGUGUUGAAAUUUGUACUGCUUGCAAAGAAAGAAGCUAUGUUUUCAACAUUCAAAUAUUGUGCAAUAGAUUAUUUAUAUGAGAAUGUAAUUAGGAAGAAGUUUUCUAGAGAUGCUUUCUUGCUUCGAAUCCCUUCAUGUUUAUAUCAAGAUGGAGAUUAUCUUACAGGAGUUAUUGAUAGUGCAUUUAGGAGGCCAUGGACAAGAGGUACCAGGAAGGUACACUAGAGCUGGCUGAGAGCAGACUGAUGGUGAAUAAAAGGAGACCUUUAGCCCCCUCCCUUUGGGUU